rnacentral:lncRNA from 1 species
GAUGCAUGUCGUGAGGACGAUCUAUCAUAUGCGCCCUUUAAUAUGAGUGUAUAUUUUACUCCAAUAUGCAUUCAUAAUCAAUGAAUUGAUCAGUAGUUGGUAUCCCAGGAAAAACAUUUCAAAUCGAGUUAAGUCAUAGUAACAAACUUGUAUAACUUGUUCAAACCAUGUUGGUGCUUGUCAUUUGUGUUCACUAUGGUCCUAGUCUAUAACAAACAUGUCACUAUGGUAUGUUGACAUGGAAUUCACACAGACACAUACAAAAGGCAUGCGAGGGCCUAGCCACACCUUUUCUUGUGCUUGACAACACGAUCAAUGGUGUUGUGAGGUGGAUAGUUAGUGGGCACUGACAAGCACAUCUUCAUCAGGAUGCAAGCUAGCGAUCCACGUGAGAUAGGUGAUAUAUAACACAUCUCUAACCACAAUGGCUACCCAUUUAUUCUUGAAUGGAGAUAAUUAGACAGUUACCAAAUGAUGAUUUGACUUUUAACUGAUAUGCAAUUGCAUAUUGCAAAGAUAAUGGCUUCGUAUGCAUGUUUUGCUCGUCAUUAACAAGCAGACAUAUAUGUUGAAUGUAAAGGCUUACCCAAAAUGUGUGCAUGUUUCCAACUACAUUGUGAAUCUGAAUUGAUAUGAUUAAAACAUCUUUAAUGUGGCUAUAUUUGCUUGUACAUUGCAAAGAUCGUGGCUAGUUAGGCCUGGUUUUCCCUAUUAGCGACGACGCAACUCUAGUUGGCUAAUGCGAAUGCUUUCUCAAAAGAUGGAC